AAAACCGAAACACUAUUUAAGAUUUGAAAUAUAUAUAAUACCGUAACUUCUGGAAAAUAAUUUCGGAGGUGAAGGAUCGUAAACGACAAAUUUGUUGUGUUCUAAUUUUAUUUGACUGAAAUAAUUAUUUUCCCAAAAUAUAAUACAACACAACACAUUUUCGGGUGAGGGUCGUCCAAACCACCCUCCCUCUUAGAUACGGCCUUGAGCCAUAAUACAUAGUAUGAUAAGCCGACAAAAAAUAUAAAUAUAAUAAUAUGUUUGUAAAUUUCAUAAAAGUUAGCUAGCAAUAGGUAUCGUAUAAUAUAUCUGGGGUCGUGUUCCAUGGAUAUCAGAC